rnacentral:rRNA from 1 species
UACGAAGGGGGCUAGCGUUGCUCGGAAUCACUGGGCGUAAAGCGCACGUAGGCGGAUUGCUAAGUCAGGGGUGAAAUCCUGGAGCUCAACUCCAGAACUGCCUUUGAUACUGGCGACCUUGAGUCCGGGAGAGGUGAGUGGAACUGCGAGUGUAGAGGUGAAAUUCGUAGAUAUUCGCAAGAACACCAGUGGCGUAGGCGGCUCACUGGCCCGGUACUGACGCUGAGGUGCGAAAGCGUGGGGAGCAAACAGG